CUCCCCACCCCUUCUCUACAUAAGUGCCUGGAAACUUCCAUUUCACUGUAUCUGAAGAAGUGUGCAUGCACACGAAAGCUCAUACCAAAAUAAAAACUUAGUUGGUCUUAAAGGUGCUACUGAAGGAAUUUUUUUUAUUUUAGAGACAGCAAUUGGGCAUUCCUACAUUUCAGCUUGUGCUAUCUUGUUCAAAUGGUAAUUAUUAUUUAGGAUUAUGGCAUUACUUGUAAUCCCUUUUUAUUUUCCUCUCUUUCUACCUCUUACCACUUUUCUUUCUUAAUUUCAUAACCUUUGCCCCUUUCAAGGUUUUUAAAUCAUCUUCAGUUGUAGUGAUUAAAUGCAGCCACUAGAGUGUGACAUGUUUUUUAACCUUUGAAUCAUGCCUAAAACACUUACACAAGGUUAAUAUUUUCAAAUUAGUCAGGAAGUAUAUAUGUUGGAGAAAUGUGCAUUAUACUCCCUUUGUUGACUUAUUAACCGAUGAAGCAAAUGUUGCUUAUUAUGAAAAAUGUACAGCUCUUUAGAUUUAAGUGUAUUUAAGUCUUUCAGCUUAUGAAAUUGUUGUGAGUGAAAAGUGUUAUAGAAAAGGGUUAUGUGUUGACAUGUUUGAAAUAAUUGGUUCAUGCAUUUUCAGGAAGGGGGCUUGCCUAUCUUUCCUCCUUUAUGCAGAAUACUACAGUUAUACCUCUAGUUACGUUUGCUGCAGGUUGCGUAGAUAAUGGGUUACGAACUUGCUGAACCUGAAAGUGCCGGUACGGGUUACUUCCAGGUUCGGCGAUUCGCGCAUGUGCAGAUGUGCCGAAUGAUGUCACGUGCAUGCACAGAAGUGCCAAAUUGCACGGCGAGCAUGCGCAGAUUUGGCGCUUCAGGUUCCGUACUGCUCUGGAGGCGACCAGGCCUCCAGAACGGAUCCUGUUCGCAACCAGAGGUACCACUGUACUUUUAAGUAACAACAGACCAUUCUUUGCAAUUAUGAUGUGAAUAGCAGACCUAUAAAUGUAUUCUUCACAUUUCUUGUGUAUGUUGCCAUUAAUUGCCAAAGGGAAUGGGGAGCCUUCUGCAGUCAGGGUAUCCAAACCUUGUAGAACAGCCUUCUGUGAUAUAGUGUUUUGGACUACAACUCCCAUCAUCCCUGACCACUGACUAUGGUGGCUCAGGCUGAAUUGCAGUCCAAAACAACUCAAGGGCUCUAGGUUGGGGAAGGUUGUUGUGGACAAACUUGAAAAAGAUGAAUAAAUCUCUAACCCUGUUACAACUUCUGUUGAGGAAUCUUUCAUAAUAGUCAGCUGGCAGAAUCUGCUGUUUGUGGGAAUCCUGCUUGUUCUUUAGGCAUGGAAUGUUGGAAGACAUCAGGUGCCUUUGAUGAGUUGGAGGUAUGGCCAGAAAUGUCUUUAGGAACAUCAUGUAUAAGAGUGGCUCUGAACACAGAUAAGAGGUAUGUUGGAAUUACAGUAGAUUAAAAACUUGAAAAUGAUUUUUUAAAAAAUGCAGCAGGAUCAACUUCUCCCAAAUCAUCCUUCUAUUCAGGUUUGUGUCUAAGGACUGUUUCACAUGUCUGGUUGUACUCAUUGAGGAAUCAUGGGAAAGCCUAGGUUGUGAUGGAUAUUCCUAUUUGUUAACACUGUUUGCUGAAGUGUUAGUUUUAGGCUUAUAUGAUUUUAUAAAAAUGUUUUUCCAAGAAGUAAUGUAUGUCAAAGCUAUUAAUCUUUUAUUUUUGUAAGAAAAUGCUGCCCAUUUGGCAAUACAACCAUGCUGUUUUUUUUUAAUGAGAGAAUUGAGUUGGAGAUCAGGAAGGGAGGAAAGCAGAAUUUGCAAUUAGGAGGGAAGAUGGAAGAAUAAGAUACAUUCACAGGCUUUGCAGACACCUGAAAGACUAGACUGUUUUGGAAGCUUAGGAGGGCAUGAUAAUUUUUUCCUUAAUGAGGAUUUUUUAAAGAGCCAGGUAAAGCGUAGGAAGCAGAAAAUCCAGUUUGGAACACACAUGUUAGUAGGAGUAAAUGAAAAUGUCAAGGCUGAACUGAUGGGAAAAAGGAGCAAUGGAGUGAGGGUAAAAACGGGGGCAUUCCAGCAGCUACAAUGUGACCAGGGCAUAGGUAGUGUUUUAAUGCAGAAAAUAUAUUUUAUUCUUUUUAUGUGUUCCAGGGAUGGGUCAUUGACAUUGAAAACAGAUGUCAGGAGUGAGCUCUAGUAUGAAUUAAACCCUGCCCAUAAUCAAGGAUUAUAGAGGGUGUUCUGGAGCACUCUGUUUGCUAUGGCAUUCGGCCAGAGCUGAGGCAGCCUUACCAGCUCCCUGAGUGAACUGAAGGUUUCAGUGGCUGCAGCAGGUUGAGAGGGAAAGAGCCAGAGCCAUGUCUUUUUCCACCUGCCUUUGCUGCUCAUUGGGCUCCUCUCCUCCUCCUCUUCCCACCUGUUUCUCUUGUGUUUCUGCUUUUCCAUAUUACCCAGCUCAUGCAGUGCAAUUAUUUAUAUCAUCACAUCUUCUGAAGUAUUUUCCAAGGUGGAUUUAAUUGAAAUCAAAUUGAUUUAAAUCACGAUUUAAAUCACUAGUCAGUAAGACUUGAUUUAUUUAUUUUUCCUACAGAAAGACUUAUUCUUGCUGGUAUAAUACAACCAGGUGAAGGUUUCAUUUUGGAAUAAUAGAUUUUCAGACUAGUUUUUACAGUUAUAUCAAAAAUUACUGAUUUGGUUAUACUAUUAGAACUACAUAGACAAUUAUGAAAUUAUUGUGAGGUUUAAUAAGUUAACUGUUUAUAAUUUGACAACAUUUCUGCUGUAUUGGAAGGAGAAAAUAAAUAAUCAUUUCCUUAAUAACUGAUGUGGUUAGAGACUUUAUUGUUUGGACAAUAUCAGGCGAGUCCUGGGAAGAAGCGCCUAGAACCAGUGAACUCCUAUUACCGGUAGUUGCCUGGCAAGACUUGAAGGUCUCGCCAAGGACUUGCUUACAGAUCCCAGUUAUUGUUUCUACCACAACUACCACCACCUUUGGAUUUGCUUCUACAUUCAGGUGUCUCUUCUGUACAGUUAAGUGUUAGUGCAGUUGUUGGAACCCAGUGGGAUUGGGAAGAGGUUGCCAGCCCUGAAGUGCCUUCAGCACUUGCCUCGAGUCUAACUUACACAGGCAUGCGACUGUCUUGCACAGUUAUUAUUACACAAAGAUCCCAAGACUUGUGGAGCAUUCUGCUCACAAGGUUGCACUUUCAUUUUUACCGUUUCACACUUAGCUAGCUCUAUUCCACUCCAUGGUUGGACAGUGUUCUCAAAGCUAUGAACAUGAGUUUGACCAAACUGCGGGAGGCAGUGCAAGACAGGAGUGCCUGGCGUGCUAUGGUCCAUGGGGUCACGAUGAGUCGGACACGACUAAACGACUAAACAACAUUCCACUCCAAACAAUCUAUUCAUUGAACCUCUUGGAACUUGGCAUUUCAGACGUAUGGGGUUGAUUCUGUGUAUAUAAAUUUGCAAAGGAGCAAUGGGACUAAGGUUUUUUUCCCCUUCAACUCUGGGUGUUUCUUUUAUAACAUUUUUCCUGUGAAGAAAAGGCUUGUUAUCUCUGCAGACACAAAUUCACACUUUUGAGAACUGCAAAAGCAAGCAUCUGUGGUAAUAUCUUCUCAUUAUAAAAACUGCCCCAAAUAAUCUUACAGAAACCUCUGGAAGAGCAUGACAUUGUGAAUGGAUUAAAGGAACUCAUUUAACAAAAAUUUUAAACAUUGCAUAUAAAGCCUCAUGCUACAUACCGUAAUUAAAAACAAAUCCUUAUUUCCUCAUGAAUAGCCUUUGGACUAUAAUGUUACUUAAAUAGAAAACUAUCCUUAGAAAAAAAUUUCCUCCAAAAGCAUUUUGUUUUAACACAUCCAAUUUAAAUAAAUAAAUCAGAUUUAUUUGGGUGUUUUUUUAAAAAAACCACCAUUGAUUUUUAUUCACCCUGGUAUUUUCACACGUGGCUAAUUCAGUGUAAUUGUUCAUAAGUAAUAGUUCUCACCAUUGUGCUGAUAUCUGAGGUUGUAAGAUAAUGUUAACCCACAACACAUUGUUUCUCAGAGCAGGAUAGGGUAGAUCGGCUAGAGAACUGAAGGAGAACUUUUCUGUCUAUCUUGGAUAAGGAAAACUGAUUCCUUUCCUUGGGCACUGCGUGGGUAAUCCUUUUCAGCCUGAGAGCCACCUUGAGGGUGAACCAACCCUCUUAAUUCUGGCAUAUGGACAGUCAACCUUGCCAUGCUCAUAUACAUACCAAAUUCCCUCCCCGCCACCCCACAAACACUGGGCUAGGAGAGGUACUUCUGCCCCUAGCCAAGUGCUGCAAUGAGGAAGAAAAGCAGCCAGUCCAGCGUUCUCCUCUUCACCCGGUAAUGCAAGAGAAGAGCUCCAUUUAUAUUGGAAAAGCACACCUCCUUCUGGUGUGUCAUGAUUGCAAGAAGCUCUUAGAACAGGGGUCAGCAACCUUUUUCAGCCAUGGGCCGGGUCAGCAACCUUUUUCAGCCAUGGGCCGGGUCCACCGUCCCUCAGACCGUGUGGUGGGCUGGACUAUAUUUUGAAAAAAAAAUAUGAACGAAUUCCUAUGCCCCACAAAUAAUGCAGAGAUGCAUUUUGAGUAAAGCACACAUUCUACUCAUGCAAAAACACCAGGCAGUCCUCACAAAUAACCCAGAGAUGGAUUUUAAAUAAAAGGACACAUUCUACUCAUGUAAAAACACGCUGAUUCCCAGGCUGUCCAUUGGGCCGGAUUGAGAAGGCGAUUGGCCUUCCCCCAACCUUAGGUUGCCAACCCCUGUCUUAAAACAUGGGGAAAAGAAAGGAGCUCUCCUUCCUAUUUCCUGAACCUCUAAGACCAGUGACGCUGCACCAGAGGGAGAAGUGGGACUUUUCCAAGGUACGAAGAAGUGCCUGAUUUUGGCAGAGGGCUGGCAGGCCGCUAGAAGCAGUUUUGCAGGCUGGAUCAAGCCUGAAGGCUUAUCGGCCCAUCCAUAUGCUAUAGAAAACAUGUAGCUACAAGCAUCUGAGAAUAAAAAAUGAUAAACGUGAAUAAAAUAACACAAACCUUUAAAAGGAUAGAACAGAUCCCAGAAGAAUUGCACCUGUGUCAUUUUUUCUUUGUCUUUUUAAAAAAAUGUGUUUUCAGUUAGUAUAUUAGGAAGUUUAAUUACGUAACACAUUUAUGAUUUUGUUGCUCUUGGAAAUCAGAGGCCAGAACUUAACAAUAUUCAUCUUACUCAUGUCUUGUCAUCUUUUGUUACUUAAUUGUCUGGUUUAGCACCUCCCCUUAGUUUAAUACAGUAUGCAGAAAUGUAGACCUUAGAAUGAAUUCUGUGUUGUACACAUGUGAGGGUGACAGAAGGGUUGAAGAUGUUCUGACAAAGACAAAUGGUAUGUGGCAUGGGUUUGUUCUGAAAAUUUGACGAAGACAGUAACAUAACAUGCCCAUGAUUCUCCUGUAUGAAGAAGCUAUGUCUGUUUUCUUCCCUGUGGCUAGCUGUGUUAAGAACUCUUCACAGGUAAUAAAAAAUGUGACUGUAUUUGUUCAGGCUAAGUGGAAUUAUAAAAUAAGCUUUUUGAACCUUAACAUUGAUGCGUUAGGUUAUGUGUGGUGUGGUGUUGCUGGGUUUUUCCUUUCUAGAACAUGUCUACUGUAACAAAAGUACAGAAAAUUGUAAACAGCUGUUUCCUCAGUUCAUUUCUAAUACAUUUGCCUUUAUAAAUUUAUGUUUGGAUUAGGCAUUUCUGUUUCAAAAUAGGCAAAAGAUUUCACAAUUGUUUUCAAGAUUUCAGACUCAAAGAGGGGAGAAGGAAGGAGGCAGAAUGAGACAGAGAUGUAAAACAAGUAUUAAUUUUGAUUUUCUUAGGGGUCUAUUUCUAGACCCACUUUAAAGCUACACACAUAUUGAAAAUAACAUACUUUGCACUCCCAUAUGAGAAUAUUUGUAUUAAUAAUUCACAGACAUACCUUUUUCUUGCUGCCACUGUGUUCUCCUUGUCUUCCCAAGAGAGGGAAAAGUAUGCUUUGGAACAAGUGAUUCUGUCCAGAGGAUGAAAGAAUGGUUGUAGAUGGAACAGUAUUUUCCCCAAAUUCUUCCUGAGGUUCUACUACUCCCACAAUUCAGACUUUGAACAGUUGUUGUUGGGUUUCUUUUUUAUAAGAAACUUAAGACAUCUUGGUACUGUUUGACUAACAAACUUUGUAAGUAAAAUGGAUGUGCAGGAAGUCAAGGUUGCAUAUGAUUAUGAAACAUAAGCUAUUUCUGUUGAAUGAUUGGUUAAUUGAAAUGUUGUAUGUCAUCCUGUUUGUGUGACAGGUAAUUUUUUAUUAGUCAUUGCUUAAUUAUGAAUUUAUGCAUGCAAGUACUGUGUUCACCUCCAAGUAUAUACUCAGAAGAGGAAGGAAUGGUGUUAACAGACAUAUCAGCUGUUGGAGCCUAGCCUUAUGAGCAUCUUUGGUGAAAUAUCAUAUGAGUCUUCUUUCAUAAUGGCAUUUUUUAAAUAAAAAAAGGAUGUGACGGCUGGAAUCAUCAGUGGAGUAGAUGAGCUGCUUACUCAGCCCUGCCUCGCACGUUGUUGUGCUUCCUAAACUUUUUCUUGCCAUCUCAUCUGAGAACAUAGGCUUUACAUUUUUGGCAGGUGAGAGCAUGCCCCGUUGAUUUUACUGACAGCUAUGUUGGGCGUUACUUCUGGGGGGGGGAAGGUUGGGGGCCCAACAGCCAGCUACCUUCCUGAUACUUGAGAUUAAGGGUAUUGUGCAUGUGUGUUUCCCCCCUUUCUCUCUUGUGGAGCUGGUUCUUACCUAAUUAGAACUUACCUUGCUGCUUAAAUUGUUAAGUUCUUGGGAGGAAGGCACGUGAUGUGCCUUGGUAGAGAUCAACUGGGGAGAGUGGGAUGGGGGGCAGUUGCAGUGCUUCUGGGUAAGGGGAGGUAUGGUUUGGGAGGAGGGGCAAGCCAGGUAAAAAGAUAAAAGUAAAGGACCUGGAUGGUUAAAUUCAGUCAAAGGCGACUAUAGUGUGCGGCGCUCAUCUUGCUUUUCAUACCAAGGGAGCCAGUGUUUGUCCACAGACAGCUUUCCAGGUCAUGUGGCCAACAUAAUUUCUGGUGCAACGGAAUACCAUGGCAGAAGCCAGAGUGCACGGAAAUGCCAUUUAGCUUCCAGUCACAGUGGUACCUAUUUAUUUAUUUACUUGCAUUGGUAUGCUUUUGAACAACUAGGUUGGCAGAAGCUGGGACAGAGCAACGGGAGCUUACUCCAUUGCACGGAUUCAAACUGCCGACCUUCCAGCCAGCAAGCCCAAGAGGCUCAGUGGUUUAGACCACAGCGCCACCUGUGUCCCUUCAGGUAAGGGGCACGCAGCACAGACAAUUAGUGGCAAUGCUAUGUGUAGGCCUCCUCUACAACCUGAAGGAUUGCUGUUGUCACAUCAGCCAGCUCUCAGGUUUGUGGGUGCUGCUGUUGAAUGCCAGGUUGGCUUUGAAUAAGAUUUCCCUUAUCCAUUUGAUCGUGGAUGAGGAGGCCAGCCUGGUGUUCAUUGCUGAGCUCUGGGUGGGCUAUUAGUGGAGUUGGUCUCACUAAGCUGUGCCCAUCUGGGUACUCUCUGUGGCUUCAUGGCAGACUUGAGGGUCAGGGAGGAGGAGUUGCAGUAUCUGUAGGAAAUCUCUCUCAUGGCUUCUGGCUUCUGGAGUGUACAUCCUGAGUGUAUAUCUGAACCCAAUGUUGGGUAAUCAGGACAGAUUAGAGAUUCUGCUGGUUUAUCACCUGCUUUGCUUUCCAGCAGUCUCCAUGGGCGAACUAAUAGAGAUGGCCUUGAGAACUCCCAUACUGUUGGUUCUAGGAGACUUAAACAUCCAUGCUGAGGCUGUCACUUCUGCAGCAUGUGGUCUGCCACACUCUGGAUCUGGUUUUCUGAACCAGGCAGGAAGAAGGUUAUCAGAGAGCGAGGGAUAUUAACACCAGGAGCUUGUCAUGCAUGGAUCAUCUCCUAUUGAGAUUUCAACUGCUUUCCCCCUCUGCAGAAGUGUACAACCAAUCAGGGAGGUCUGCCCCCGGUGUCUGAUGGAUCCAGUUGGUUUCCAAACUACUCUUGGGGAUUUUCUAGCUGAUAAUGGAUGUUACGGUUGCUGCAGCCCUGGUAGAUUUUUGGAAUGUGCAGAUGAGCCAGAAUGUUGACAUGAUCACUUGUUAGAGCCAAAGUGGUUCUUCCUUAGGCUCCAGAGCUUAAGGUAGUGAAACAAGUUGGACUAUUGUUUAAACCAGUACGGUCCAACAUUAUAUAGCAAGUGGGCAGCAAAAGUAGUUUGACAUGGAACCCGUGGGCCUCACACUGCCUUGUCACGUGGGGGGAGCGAGGCCAAAAUAUGACACACCCCUAGACCUUCUGCUGCCUUCCCGAAGCUGGGUAGGCGAGGCGCUGGGCUUUGGGAAGGAGAUGCGAGGCUCUGGCAGGGUCCUGGAGCCCUCCUCCUUCCAGGAAAAGGUGUGUCACAUAAAGCACUAGCUAGGCUUUGGGAAGGAGACAGGACUCUAGGACCCUGUCAGGGCCCAAAUAUUGCCGAGGGCUGCCAAAAAAAGGGGGGGGGGCCUUGAGGGCUGCAUGCAGACCACCCUGGCUUAAACACAAGUGGCGACAAAUGCAGUCAAAAUGAGUGUUCAUUAGGCCCAAUCAGUGGCACAGGUCCGCACUUUAAAACUCUCUCUCUCUUUGUUUUGUUCUGGAGCUUUGCCUGCGAAAACCUCUUUACUGCUGAAUCUGAGCGAAUGUCGAUCCGUGGAAAACCUGAAUUGCCGUUUAUUGCACUUUAUCUUUAAAGAGUGAGAUUUCACGGGCAAAGCUCUGGGGUGGAAAAAAGAGUGCUCACACCUGGAGCUUGAAAUCAUGGACCUGUGCCUGGAAAGCAUGGCAGUUGGUAUUUUUAAAGCUGUAGCUUCUGUACUCAGCCCUACUAUCGGGUUGUCUAGGUACAGUGGGUUCUAGUUUUGAGAGUUCGGUGAGGAUUCUUGUAUAUAUUCUGUAUUCAAUGCUAUUUCUCCCAAGUUUUUGCUUGAAUCAGUGAAGAGGCCAUUGGUGAGCUACUGUGCUGUGGAGAAAGGAAGUUAUGGGCCAGAUGGGAAAUCUGCAUUCCAGUCAUUGCUAAUUCGAGGGUGUGUAUUUGCACAUCCAAGAGAGGAGGAAGUCAUCAAUCUGAUUAAUGAAAAGAAAUCCUCUUUCAAAUAGUGCCUUCAAAGAGAGAACACCUUUUAAAAGUCACUUCAGCUAGCAGAGAGAUUAUCUUGUCUUAUUGCAAAACUCCAAAUGCACACAUUUGUUUGUUCCUUCUUGAAAAGAAUGUAUGGGGAUAGUAGUCAAGGAGGAUCCUCUCUGGCUUGCUUUCUGUCCUGCCUUUGUGGCACAAAUUUAUAUAACUCAAUAAAUUGAUGUAUUUUAGCUCCUUAGCCUUAGAGAGCUGUUUAUGAGGUUCUUUCUGAUUUUUACAGAAUAGGUGCACUUUCCCUUUAGAUACUGUGUGCUCAAUCAUAGUUAAAUUAAUUACUUUUAAUAUGCUGCCUAAUAAUCAAGGGCUGCCAUGGUUGUGGUUGAGCCAUUUGACCACUUCCCUGAUUGCAGGUUUCAGCCUCCCUGUAUCUCCUCACGCUGGAUGGCUACUAAACAAUGCACUUGUGUCACCAGACUUGAAAAGUUAGCCAUAGCACACUAAGCCAUAAAUAUUUGGUGCCUUAAUCAUUCCAGUACCUUAAUCAGGUGGUGUGUGAUUCAAACCUAGGAAUUUGGAGUCUGAUAUUUCUUCUAGGCUUCCUCAGAAUGUUGAUGAAUUGAAAACAUAACUUUAUAUCGGAAUAGCUUUGAUUGGCACGUUAAUGGCUAGUCAGAAGAGUUGUGUGUGGUGAUAAAGUCUCUGAAGGCUUUGGCUACGAUGGGUAAGUGUGGAGCAAGGCAGGCAGCAGUAAGAAGCAGAGCCCAUUCCUUGUGGCUAGAUUUACCUCCAAAUAUACGAGAGGUUUUAUGCUUCUGAACGCCAACUGCUGGGAAUCAUAAGCUGGAGAGUGCUACUGUGCUCAUGUUCUGUUUGUGGGAUCCCCGUAGGCAUCUAGUUGGCCACAGUGAGAACAGGAUGCUGGAAUAGAUAGGCUGUUGGCCUGAUCCAGCAGGACUCUUGCUCAGCAGGAGCAAGUUUGACCUGUUUGUUUCUUCUGGGUAGCUCUUGAAGGUUUUGCUGAUCAUCUUGCAGUUCCUUCCUGUGGAUAUUGUAGAUGAUGUGUCUGUAUGAGAUUUAAAAGGAGCUCCAGGUUGGUCCUUUUGAAAGUUUAAAAUAUAUGCAUUUAAAUUUAUAAACGUGGUUAAAAUUUGUGUUAUUUUUUUUUCAAAAUUCUAAGUUCUAUAGCUUCUGUCUUGAAAAGAAAUUUCAAUUAGAAUAUUUAAAGCACCUUUCAGGAAGAUGCAUCUUCCAGUAUCUUGUCUGGCUUGCUGACUUCUGCAGAGCUUUCUUGGAUUAUUCAGUUCUCUUAGAUUGUUGUUUUGUCCUCCCAAGUACAGCUCACUCAGCCUGCCUUUCCUGCUUAUGAUGAUUUUCCCAUUCUUAUGAAGGCGUCCUGUGUUUGCUGCUAAUCACAAAGAAAAUAUAGUCAAGCUGCUAGGUGAUCCAGUUCGUCUGAUCCAGGCUUAGAAACAAAUUUAGGAGCUUGUAAAAUCUCACUCGAAACAGAAGGUGAACUUUUAAAGCUCCUGAAUUCUUCUCUGAUUUGUGAUCAAAGUCUGAUCUGGAGAAUCCCUGCCUUCUGCCAUUUUCUCAAGCCCAUGAAACACCUCUUUUCUAGGGCUAGGUGAUAGAUCAAUAUAUCGUCCAAAACUGGUUUGAAGUCUAUAUCAUGAUAUCAGUUUCAUAAUUUUUGACCUAGCUACAUAAUACAAAUCAUGAUGUGUGUGCGUGUGCACACACGCUAAAAAUCACAAUGGGGGGAAAUACAAUGAAGCCAGCCAGUGCCUAUAUACCAUAUUUUUCCGUUUAUAACAGCCCCCACCCCGUGUGUAACACGACCCCUAUUUUUCGGGACUCCAGGUAAAGAAAUCCCCCAUAUGCACUAUCCGUGUAUAAGAUGACCCUCCAAUUUUCAACUUGAAAAAAUAUAGUUUUAUACACGGAAAAAUACGUUAGCUCCACCCUUAUUUCAGGCAUUGUGAUAUAUCAGUAUAUCACGAUGUAUAGCUGAUGAUAUAUCACAACAUUGACAACCAGAUAUCGCCCAGCCCUACUGUUAGUCUCUACCUAAAAGGUAAAGGUACCCUUACCAUUAGGUCCAGUCGCAGACAACUCUGGGGGUGCGGCGCUCCUCUCGCUGUAUAGGCUGAGGGAGCCGGCGUUUGUCAGCAGACAGCUUCCGGGUCAUGUGGCCAGCUUCUGGCGAAGCAGAGCAGCGCACGGAAAUGCCGUUUACUUUCCCGCGAGAGCAGUACCUAUUUAUCUACUUGCACUUUGAUGUGCUUUCGAACUGCUAGGUGGGCAGGAGCUGGGACCGAGCAAUGGGAGCUCACCCCGUUGUGGGGAUUCGAACUGCCGACCACCUGAUCGGCAAGCUCUAGGCUCAGUGGUUUAGACCACAGCACCACCUGCGUUCCAUCCUUAUUUCAGGCAUCAUGAUAUCGCUAUGUUAGCUGGUAACCCUAUCCCUUUACUUUUUCAUUUGUAGUAGAAGCUACAGUGGAGGUGAGAAAGGAGGAGGGUAGUUCCCCUUCUUCCACCCUGCCCUUUUGCCUAUCACCUUGGUAUGCUAAGUACCGUAACCUGUGCUUGGGGGAAUUUUGGAUCAUGUGGAUUUUCUAAGCACUGCUACAAACAUCCUCCUCUCAACAUGUGCACCAGCUGUUGCUGCUGCCAGUUUAAAGUUAAGAUAAUGGAAGAUGGAGAUUGUGUUUUGGUGGGUAUGGUUUUUAGGGGAUGCAACAUGGUAAAUCGGAGGUGAAUUUGGAAGAGCUCACCCACCCAUGUACAGUAUAAAGUAUAGUCUUUCUCCAUAACUAUUAGGGAAAAUGCCAUUAUUUUAGCCACUAAAAUAGUAGGCUAAAUGCCAUAGUAAUGCAGGCUUUCUAGAUUUUCAUGUGAAACUAAUAGAAAGAUUGCAUAAACACUUAUUGGCCAUUUAAGGAGUAUUAUUAUUGGAGCUAAAAUUCAGUCAGAAGUUAUUAUUUUCCUCCAUGGCUUAGCCCAAGAGCAUGUGCAGCAAUAGAUUUCUUUUAUUUUGAAAAUUAAUUUAAAAUUCCUCAUAAAAAAUAAAUGGUAAACCAGGGGAAAAAAUCAUCAUUAUCAUCAUCUUUAUUGUUAUUGUGCAGGAGGGAGAUAACUGUACAACAUCCUGCCAUUGUAUGGCUAGAGUUCAAAUAAUGCUUUUAAUACUGAACACAUAACUUGUCUUGUGUUAAAAGUACUAUUCUUGAAUUUUGGUUGUGCAUUCAGACACAUAAGUGUGCAGUGUAUUUGUCUGCAGUUUAUUUGAUGAUACAUUUAAAAAGGCAAUAUAGGUUACAUGUAUAUACAUGUAUAUCCGUCUUCUCAGAAUUAUCGAAAAGCAUGUUCCUGUCCAGCAUCAAAGCAGUAGUGCAAAGGUUGAUAUUUAUCUGAAUCCAAUUUUGGGUCCUGUGUGUGCAAGCUUCAUUGAAUUUGAAGAAGUACAGAGCAGUAUUGGUUAUUAGAUUUUUUAAAUAAACCUUUAAAUAUUUAGGAAUGUGAUUGUGACAUGGGCAUAGCCAGUCAGUGUAUAGACUUUUGGGAAGGCCUGCAGAAAUAUAAAUAUGUAUGUAUGUACGUGUGUGUGUGUGUGUGUGUGU